CACGAAGUGAGUGGCGGACGGGUGAGUAACACGUGGGUAACCUGCCCAGAAGCAGGGGAUAACACCUGGAAACAGAUGCUAAUACCGUAUAACAGAGAAAACCGCCUGGUUUUCUUUUAAAAGAUGGCUCUGCUAUCACUUCUGGAUGGACCCGCGGCGCAUUAGCUAGUUGGUGAGGUAACGGCUCACCAAGGCGAUGAUGCGUAGCCGACCUGAGAGGGUAAUCGGCCACAUUGGGACUGAGACACGGCCCAGACUCCUACGGGAGGCAGCAGUAGGGAAUCUUCCACAAUGGACGCAAGUCUGAUGGAGCAACGCCGCGUGAGUGAAGAAGGGUUUCGGCUCGUAAAGCUCUGUUGUUAAAGAAGAACGUGGGUGAGAGUAACUGUUCACCCAGUGACGGUAUUUAACCAGAAAGCCACGGCUAACUACGUGCCAGCAGCCGCGGUAAUACGUAGGUGGCAAGCGUUAUCCGGAUUUAUUGGGCGUAAAGCGAGCGCAGGCGGUCUUUUAAGUCUA
rnacentral:rRNA from 1 species